UUCUUAUCGAGAGAGGCGGAGGGAUAGGCCCGAUGAAGCCCGGCAACCGAUUAAGGAGUAAUGAACGUUAUCACUCUUUAAUGUCAUGGUGCUAAUUCCUACAGAUCGCAUACAGGCGUUUCUGGCAGAUGAGAG
rnacentral:ncRNA from 2 species